rnacentral:rRNA from 1 species
UACGGAGGAUCCGAGCGUUAUCCGGAUUUAUUGGGUUUAAAGGGAGCGUAGGUGGAUUGUUAAGUCAGUUGUGAAAGUUUGCGGCUCAACCGUAAAAUUGCAGUUGAAACUGGCAAGUCUUGAGUACAGUAGAGGUGGGCGGAAUUCGUGGUGUAGCGGUGAAAUGCUUAGAUAUCACGAAGAACUCCGAUUGCGAAGGCAGUUCACUGGACUGCAACUGACACUGAGGCUCGAAAGUGUGGGUAUCAAACAGGGA